rnacentral:rRNA from 1 species
GAGAAAGCUUGCUUUCUUGCUGACGAGCGGCGGACGGGUGAGUAAUGUAUGGGGAUCUGCCCGAUAGAGGGGGAUAACUACUGGAAACGGUGGCUAAUACCGCAUAAUGUCUACGGACCAAAGCAGGGGCUCUUCGGACCUUGCACUAUCGGAUGAACCCAUAUGGGAUUAGCUAGUAGGUGGGGUAAAGGCUCACCUAGGCGACGAUCUCUAGCUGGUCUGAGAGGAUGAUCAGCCACACUGGGACUGAGACACGGCCCAGACUCCUACGGGAGGCAGCAGUGGGGAAUAUUGCACAAUGGGCGCAAGCCUGAUGCAGCCAUGCCGCGUGUAUGAAGAAGGCCUUAGGGUUGUAAAGUACUUUCAGCGGGGAGGAAGGUGAUAAGGUUAAUACCCUUGUCAAUUGACGUACCCGCAGAAGAGCACCG